AGAGUUUGAUCAUGGCUCAGAAUGAACGCUGGCGGCGUGCCUAACACAUGCAAGUCGAGCGAGAAAGCUCCUUCGGGAGUUAGUAAAGCGGCGGACGGGUGAGUAACGCGUAAGAAUCUGCCCUUUGGUGAGGAAUACCCUCGAGAAAUCGGGGUUAAUACUGCAUAAGUCCCUACGGGGAGAAAGGUGGCCUCUUGCUACCGCCGAAGGAUGAGCUUGCGUACUAUUAGCUAGUUGGUAGGGUAAAGGCCUACCAAGGCGAUGAUGGUUAGCCGGCCUGAGAGGGUGUACGGCCACACUGGAACUUAGACACGGUCCAGACUCCUACGGGAGGCAGCAGUGGGGAAUAUUGCGCAAUGGGCGAAAGCCUGACGCAGCGACGCCGCGUGGAGGAUGAAGGCCUUAGGGUCGUAAACUUCUGUUAAGUGGGAAGAAAAUCCUGUCAAUAAUACGGACAGGCUAUGACGGUACCAUAGAGAAAGC
rnacentral:rRNA from 1 species